UUAAGCGACUAAGCGUACACGGUGGAUGCCCUGGCAGUCAGAGGCGAUGAAGGACGUGCUAAUCUGCGAUAAGCGUCGGUAAGGUGAUAUGAACCGUUAUAACCGGCGAUUUCCGAAUGGGGAAACCCAGUGUGUUUCGACACACUAUCAUUAACUGAAUCCAUAGGUUAAUGAGGCGAACCGGGGGAACUGAAACAUCUAAGUACCCCGAGGAAAAGAAAUCAACCGAGAUUCCCCCAGUAGCGGCGAGCGAACGGGGAGCAGCCCAGAGCCUGAAUCAGUGUGUGUGUUAGUGGAAGCGUCUGGAAAGGCGCGCGAUACAGGGUGACAGCCCCGUACACAAAAAUGCACAUGCUGUGAGCUCGAUGAGUAGGGCGGGACACGUGGUAUCCUGUCUGAAUAUGGGGGGACCAUCCUCCAAGGCUAAAUACUCCUGACUGACCGAUAGUGAACCAGUACCGUGAGGGAAAGGCGAAAAGAACCCCGGCGAGGGGAGUGAAAAAGAACCUGAAACCGUGUACGUACAAGCAGUGGGAGCACGCUUAGGCGUGUGACUGCGUACCUUUUGUAUAAUGGGUCAGCGACUUAUAUUCUGUAGCAAGGUUAACCGAAUAGGGGAGCCGAAGGGAAACCGAGUCUUAACUGGGCGUUAAGUUGCAGGGUAUAGACCCGAAACCCGGUGAUCUAGCCAUGGGCAGGUUGAAGGUUGGGUAACACUAACUGGAGGACCGAACCGACUAAUGUUGAAAAAUUAGCGGAUGACUUGUGGCUGGGGGUGAAAGGCCAAUCAAACCGGGAGAUAGCUGGUUCUCCCCGAAAGCUAUUUAGGUAGCGCCUCGUGAAUUCAUCUCCGGGGGUAGAGCACUGUUUCGGCAAGGGGGUCAUCCCGACUUACCAACCCGAUGCAAACUGCGAAUACCGGAGAAUGUUAUCACGGGAGACACACGGCGGGUGCUAACGUCCGUCGUGAAGAGGGAAACAACCCAGACCGCCAGCUAAGGUCCCAAAGUCAUGGUUAAGUGGGAAACGAUGUGGGAAGGCCCAGACAGCCAGGAUGUUGGCUUAGAAGCAGCCAUCAUUUAAAGAAAGCGUAAUAGCUCACUGGUCGAGUCGGCCUGCGCGGAAGAUGUAACGGGGCUAAACCAUGCACCGAAGCUGCGGCAGCGACGCUUAUGCGUUGUUGGGUAGGGGAGCGUUCUGUAAGCCUGCGAAGGUGUGCUGUGAGGCAUGCUGGAGGUAUCAGAAGUGCGAAUGCUGACAUAAGUAACGAUAAAGCGGGUGAAAAGCCCGCUCGCCGGAAGACCAAGGGUUCCUGUCCAACGUUAAUCGGGGCAGGGUGAGUCGACCCCUAAGGCGAGGCCGAAAGGCGUAGUCGAUGGGAAACAGGUUAAUAUUCCUGUACUUGGUGUUACUGCGAAGGGGGGACGGAGAAGGCUAUGUUGGCCGGGCGACGGUUGUCCCGGUUUAAGCGUGUAGGCUGGUUUUCCAGGCAAAUCCGGAAAAUCAAGGCUGAGGCGUGAUGACGAGGCACUACGGUGCUGAAGCAACAAAUGCCCUGCUUCCAGGAAAAGCCUCUAAGCAUCAGGUAACAUCAAAUCGUACCCCAAACCGACACAGGUGGUCAGGUAGAGAAUACCAAGGCGCUUGAGAGAACUCGGGUGAAGGAACUAGGCAAAAUGGUGCCGUAACUUCGGGAGAAGGCACGCUGAUAUGUAGGUGAAGUCCCUCGCGGAUGGAGCUGAAAUCAGUCGAAGAUACCAGCUGGCUGCAACUGUUUAUUAAAAACACAGCACUGUGCAAACACGAAAGUGGACGUAUACGGUGUGACGCCUGCCCGGUGCCGGAAGGUUAAUUGAUGGGGUCAGCGCAAGCGAAGCUCUUGAUCGAAGCCCCGGUAAACGGCGGCCGUAACUAUAACGGUCCUAAGGUAGCGAAAUUCCUUGUCGGGUAAGUUCCGACCUGCACGAAUGGCGUAAUGAUGGCCAGGCUGUCUCCACCCGAGACUCAGUGAAAUUGAACUCGCUGUGAAGAUGCAGUGUACCCGCGGCAAGACGGAAAGACCCCGUGAACCUUUACUAUAGCUUGACACUGAACAUUGAGCCUUGAUGUGUAGGAUAGGUGGGAGGCUUUGAAGUGUGGACGCCAGUCUGCAUGGAGCCGACCUUGAAAUACCACCCUUUAAUGUUUGAUGUUCUAACGUUGACCCGUGAUCCGGGUUGCGGACAGUGUCUGGUGGGUAGUUUGACUGGGGCGGUCUCCUCCUAAAGAGUAACGGAGGAGCACGAAGGUUGGCUAAUCCUGGUCGGACAUCAGGAGGUUAGUGCAAUGGCAUAAGCCAGCUUGACUGCGAGCGUGACGGCGCGAGCAGGUGCGAAAGCAGGUCAUAGUGAUCCGGUGGUUCUGAAUGGAAGGGCCAUCGCUCAACGGAUAAAAGGUACUCCGGGGAUAACAGGCUGAUACCGCCCAAGAGUUCAUAUCGACGGCGGUGUUUGGCACCUCGAUGUCGGCUCAUCACAUCCUGGGGCUGAAGUAGGUCCCAAGGGUAUGGCUGUUCGCCAUUUAAAGUGGUACGCGAGCUGGGUUUAGAACGUCGUGAGACAGUUCGGUCCCUAUCUGCCGUGGGCGCUGGAGAACUGAGGGGGGCUGCUCCUAGUACGAGAGGACCGGAGUGGACGCAUCACUGGUGUUCGGGUUGUCAUGCCAAUGGCACUGCCCGGUAGCUAAAUGCGGAAGAGAUAAGUGCUGAAAGCAUCUAAGCACGAAACUUGCCCCGAGAUGAGUUCUCCCUGACCCUUUAAGGGUCCUGAAGGAACGUUGAAGACGACGACGUUGAUAGGCCGGGUGUGUAAGCGCAGCGAUGCGUUGAGCUAACCGGUACUAAUGAACCGUGAGGCUUAACCUU
rnacentral:rRNA from 3 species